rnacentral:rRNA from 1 species
AUUGAACGCUGGCGGAAUGCUUUACACAUGCAAGUCGAACGGUAACAGGUUAAGCUGACGAGUGGCGAACGGGUGAGUAAUACAUCGGAACGUGCCCAGUCGUGGGGGAUAACGUAGAGAAAUUUACGCUAAUACCGCAUACGAUCUAAGGAUGAAAGCGGGGGACAGUAAGGCCUCGCGCGAUUGGAGGGGUCGAUGUCAGAUUAGGUAGUUGGUGGGGUAAAGGCCUACCAAGCCGACGACCUGUAGCUGGUCUGAGAGGACGACCAGCCACACUGGGACUGAGACACGGCCCAGACUCCUACGGGAGGCAGCAGUGGGGAAUUUUGGACAAUGGGCGCAAGCCUGAUCCAGCCAUUCCGCGUGCAGGAUGAAGGCCCUCGGGUUGUAAACUGCUUUUGUACAGAACGAAAAGGUCUGGGUUAAUACCCUGGGCUCAUGACGGUACUGUAAGAAUAAGCACCGGCUAACUACGUGCCAGCCGCCGCAGUAA